rnacentral:misc_RNA from 1 species
UUGCGAUAAGUAAUGUGAAUUGCAGAAUUACGUGAAUCAUCGAAUCUUUGAACGCAUAUUGCACUCUCUGGUAAUCCGGGGAGUAUGCCUGUUUGAGGGUCAGUAUAAUAUAAUAAUUAUCACGAUCUCGCCGAUUGUGGAAUUGGGCUCUUAUUUCGAACAGAUUUAUGGCCUUAAAUUUACGCCAUGCGAUUAAUUCGAACCAAGCGGAGCAAUUAAACAUUCUCUCGUGGACGGAUUACUCGCAAGCCAUUACGGUUUUUUUGGACGACAAAGCGCUUUCGCGAGCGCGAAGCCCAAAGGACGUAAAUUCAUUGACAAAUGACCUCAAAUCAGGCAAGAAUACCCGCCGAACUUAA